rnacentral:rRNA from 1 species
UACGGGGGGGAACUAGCGUUAUCCAAACUGAUUGGGCAUAAAGAGUUCUUAGAUUGUUUUAUCGUUUACGUGUAAAAAAUCAGAUUUAUUGUUUGAUGCAUCAUUGUAAUAAAAUUUAACUUGAAUAAAUUAGAGGGUAGCAGAAUUUUGUUUUUAGGGGUAAAAUCCAUGGAAAAACAAAAGAAUUUCAGUUGAUAAUGCGGCUGCCUAGCAUUUAUUGACAUGUAAAACGAAGGCAUGGGUAUCAAACAGG